AUGCCCGGUCCUCCGGCCACUUUAUUAGGGAAGCCCAGUCCUCCGGCCACUUUAUUAGUGAAGCCCGGUUAUUUGGCCACUUUAUUAGGGACACCCGGUCAUUCGGCCACUUUAUUAGGGACGCCCGGUCAUUCAGCCACUUUAUUAGUGACACCUGGUCAUUUGGCCACUUUAUUAGGGAAGCCCAGUCCUCCGGCCACUUUAUUAGUGAAGCCCAGUCCUCCGGCCACUUUAUUAGUGAAGCCCGGUCAUUUGGCCACUUUAUUAGGGACACCCGGUCAUUCGGCCACUUUAUCAGUGACACCUGGUCAUUCGGCCACUUUAUUAGGGAUGCCCGGUCCUCCGGCCACUUUAUUAGGGAAGCCCAGUCCUCCGGCCACUUUAGUAGUAAAGCCCGGUCAUUUGGCCACUUUAUUAGGGACACCCGGUCAUUCGGCCACUUUAUUAGGGACGCCCGGUCAUUCAGCCACUUUAUCAGUGACACCUGGUCAUUCGGCCACUUUAUUAGGGAUGCCCGGUACUCCGACCACUUUAUUAGGGAAGCCCAGUCCUCCGGCCACUUUAUUAGUGAAGCCCGGUCAUUUGGCCACUUUAUUAGGGACACCCGGUCAUUCGGCCACUUUAUUAGGGACGCCCGGUCAUUCAGCCACUUUAUCAGUGACACCUGGUCAUUCGGCCACUUUAUUAGGGAUGCCCGGUCCUCCGGCCACUUUAUUAGGGAAGCCCGGUCCUCCGGCCACUUUAUUAGUGAAGCCCGGUCAUUUGGCCACUUUAUUAGUGACACCUGGUCAUUCGGCCACUUUAUUAGGAACGCCGGUCCUUCGGCUCUUACAGCUGACACCAGAUCUGGAGGCCACGCCCGCUGCCGUGACCAACGCCCAGACAAGCCCAUCAAAAAUUCAUUUGGAAUGUUGGUCUCUAGUUAUACCUUUAUUAUCUAUCUUUUCUCUGGAGUUUGUUCACAGACUUUCCAUUCUAGUUAAUAAAUUGCUCUAUUAUUAUUUUUUAUAA
rnacentral:lncRNA from 1 species